AGGGUUGGCUCGCGGCUGGCUCGGCGGGUACUUCUUCCCGGAAGAACUACUCUUCAUGAACACACGGCAGACGACCCACUCAUCCUGUCACAGGUGCAAAUGCUAUUCCUAUCAAGUUCAUAUCCUUCAGCGAAAGAUCACACUCUUCCUAAUGAUCCAUGGAUGAUGAUCAAAACACAGUAAAUGUAUGACCUUGAUGUAUUUUGAGGCAAGCUCGGAGUGGAGACGGUAUUCGUGCAUGAUCCAGUUGGUCUUCUCCCCUCUCGGAGCUCUCCCUUUGUAGAACACCAACGUCUUCUUCAUCCCCACCAGCUCGGAGGUGCUGCUGUCGAAGAUCUCCUUGUCUUUCCCGGUCGUCUUCCAGUAGCCGGCGUUGGUGGCUCGGUUGGUUCUGACCCCGCUCGGGUACUUGCGGUCCCGCAAGCUGAAGAAGUACCAUUCCUUUUCCCCCAGCUUCGCUUUCUCUGAUCACAGGUUCAAUCAGUUGGUACCGUUCCUUUAAAUCUACUACAUAUCAGCACAUCAUCGAGAUGUUUACCAGGGAGAUCCCAUGGCUCGGACUUGGUGAGGUCGACCUCCGCGAUUGCUCUCGCAUCGAAGUCCGCCUCAGUGAUCUUGUGGGUGAGGUAGUGGGUGAUCAGCUCUUCGUCGGUGGGAUGGAACCUAAACCCAGGCGGCAACUGCUGCUCCUCCUCCUC
rnacentral:lncRNA from 1 species